rnacentral:rRNA from 1 species
GUGGGGAAUAUUGGACAAUGGGGGGAACCCUGAUCCAGCCAUGCCGCGUGUGUGAAGAAGGCCUUUUGGUUGUAAAGCACUUUAAGCGAGGAGGAGGCUACUUAGAUUAAUACUCUAGGAUAGUGGACGUUACUCGCAGAAUAAGCACCGGCUAACUCUGUGCCAGCAGCCGCGGUAAUACAGAGGGUGCAAGCGUUAAUCGGAUUUACUGGGCGUACAGCGCGCGUAGGUGGCCUAUUAAGUCAAAUGUGAAAUCCCCGAGCUUAACUUGGGAAUUGCAGUCGAUACUGGUUGGCUAGAGUAUGGGAGAGGAUGGUAGAAUUCCAGGUGUAGCGGUGAAAUGCGUAGAGAUCUGGAGGAAUACCGAUGGCGAAGGCAGCCAUCUGGCCUAAUACUGACACUGAGGUGCGAAAGCAUGGGGAGCAAACAGGAUUAGAUACCCGUGUAGUCC